ensembl:snRNA U6 U6 spliceosomal RNA
GUGCUUGCUUUGGCAAUACAUAUACUAAAAUUUGAAUGAUACACAGAAAAUUCACAUGACCCCUGCGCAAAGAUGACACACAAAUCUGUGAAGCGGUCCCUAUUUCG